rnacentral:rRNA from 1 species
UACGUAGGGGGCGAGCGUUGUCCGGAUUUAUUGGGCGUAAAGAGCGCGUAGGCGGCAUGCCGAGUCGUGCGUGAAAGCCCCCGGCUUAACCGGGGAGGGUCGUGCGAUACUGGCAAGCUCGAGGCCGGCAGGGGGAAGUGGAAUUCCCGGUGUAGUGGUGGAAUGCGUAGAUAUCGGGAGGAACACCAGUGGCGAAGGCGGCUUCCUGGACCGGUCCUGACGCUGAGGCGCGAAAGCGUGGGGAGCGAACUGA